rnacentral:rRNA from 1 species
UACGGAGGGUGCAAGCGUUGCUCGGAAUUACUGGGCGUAAAGCGUGCGCAGGCGGUUAUGCAAGACAGAUGUGAAAUCCCCGGGCUACAACCUGGGAACUGCAUUUGUGACUGCAUGGCUAGAGUGCGGCAGAGGGGGAUGGAAUUCCGCGUGUAGCAGUGAAAUGCGUAGAUAUGCGGAGGAACACCGAUGGCGAAGGCAAUCCCCUGGGCCUGCACUGACGCUCAUGCACGAAAGCGUGGGGAGCAAACAGG